UAAAAAAAAGUACAAGAGCUCUGUGGCUGUUUGACCAAAAUGACUGAGGUGUACGAUAUGCUAGCUUGUUAUUAGCUCUUGUUGAUCAAUAUGUAAAUAGAGCUCUAGCUAUGUUUGGUGUUUGGUCUGUCGAUUUGUUAAGCAACUUAAUUCUAAGUUGAAUGUCAUUCGUAUUAUGACCAAAGCGUGUAUGUUUUGGCGUGCAUCAGAUGUGUAGACACCCUCCCUCCGUACCGUAAUCUGCAAAUAGCUCAUCGUACUCCUGUCAACGUCUUCUUGGUGCAAAGAUAUUGCUUUCUGUAGCUAGCAUGCAUGGUCGUGUGUGUGUGAUUUCACCAGCUGCUAUGCGGUUGACUCGGAGGAGAGAUAAACAUAGCCCGAGAACAAUAUAAACAAUUUGUUUAAUGCAUUUCGAGCACAUAAUAGACAACCCAGAAUUUCCCCUAGCACCACUCAACUACAGGCCUGUUCAAACAAGAAUUCAGGACGAGACGUUGUCUGUUGUUUACAUACUGUAGUUCUAGGCAAUGCAAGGGCCGUCUGUCCUUGCAUUGCCCAGCAGCUAAGAUAUUCAAUGCUAUCGCACUUUAUGGCUUUUGAGUAAAAAAAUUCGCCUCAUUAGAACCAGAUUCUAUAAGGACUGAUGGGACAUAGGAUACGAUGCUCUGUCUAGUCAGUUUUGCUGUUUCACUCAAAACAUUGCGAUCAAUGCCACGUCGUCUAAAUGGAAGCGGCUGGAUGUAUUGCGUUGUGUCGUUUGAUUAGGUGUGUAUCCUGCUUGUCUUUCAGAGCACUUCAGGCGUCGGUGUAACGCUCUUCGCUCAGCAUCCAAACCGUGCCACCUCCACCAACAGCCAGAAGAUCAGCCGUCGAUGGGGCAUGCGUUAUCACUACCAGAGCAACGAGGUGCCAUUCCAGUGAGAUUUCCACAAAGAGAAGUGUCAAGAUAAAAACAGAUGCACCAUGGACCCUUCCAACCUCAACACCAGUCCAACCAAGGUCAAAUAAAAAAUCCAGGUUAGAGGAGGAAGAGGACAGCAUCACAACACCACCUGACCCCUUGAUAUCUGGCAUUUGGAGAAAGGGCACAUCACAGUCGUCUGUGUGACACCCCCUCGCUGCAUGCCAGCACCCAAACCAAACCACCUCCACCACCACCGGUCAGAUCAUCUCGCUGAAGAUGUGUACAGUACGCUCCUGCCUGCAUCCUACCACCACAAGUUCACCCCAGAGGAUCUGCUGUCGACAACCAUUGUGAAAUCGUUGCAAUUAUGAAACACACUUAAUAAAUGCUAGUACAUCACA